rnacentral:rRNA from 1 species
GACGAACGCUGGCGGCGUGCUUAACACAUGCAAGUCGAACGGAAAGGCCCUGCUCUUGUGGGGUGCUCGAGUGGCGAACGGGUGUGUAACACGUGUGUAACCUGCCCUUGACUUUGGGAUAACUUCAGGAAACUGGGGCUAAUACCGGAUAGGAGAUCCUGCUGCAUGGUGGUGGUUGGAAAGUUUCGGCGGUUGUGGCUGGAAUGGCGGCUUAUGAGCUUGUUGGUGGGGUAGUUGCUUACCAAGGCUUUGAGGGGUAGCCGGCCUGAGAGGGGAGACGGCGACAUGGGGACUGAGAGACGGCCCAGACGGCUACGUGAGGCAGCAGGCGGGAGUAUUGCAGAGUGGGCGGAAGCCUGAGGCAGCAACGCCGCGAGCGUGAUGACGUGCUUCGAGUGAUAAACCGCUGUCGCCUGUGACGAGGCGGGAGUGACGGUAAUGGGUAAGAAAGCACCGGCUAACUACGUG